UCCCUGGUGGCUCAGUGGGUUAAGGAUUCGGAGUUGUCACUGCUGUGGCACAGGUUUGAUUCCUGUCCAGUGAA
rnacentral:tRNA from 1 species